CAAACAACAAACAAACAAAACAAACAAACACACAAAAAACAUGGUAAAUGCAGCUUAUGGGGCACAGAAAUCAGCCUGAACUGAAUCCCACAACCUGAACAAAAAAGUGAGCACAGGCCUGCUGAUAACAAGAGUUCCAGCAGAAGCUGUGGAAGACUGAAAAAUGGCCCCAAAGAUACACAGAUACAUGAGAGAGACAGAAGAAGGAGGAGGAAG
rnacentral:lncRNA from 1 species